UUGAUGUCUGCAUUUCUCAGUUGGAUAUUCAUUUUAUACAUUUCAUUAAAAAUUCUGUUACUGCUUUCAAUAUUCUCUAGGACUGAAAUCUUUGUAUCCAUGUCUUAUGCAGACAAUCUGGAUAUUGUAUAAAGCAACAUAGCUGUUAAAGCCUAACAGAAUGAGGAUGCACAUUUGGAGAUUUUUCAUGUUUGAAUAUUUUUAUUUAAUUGCUAAAUACAAAUUGAAUUAUUUGACUGAAAUGAUCAGGCUGGUUAGUUCAAUGUUAUGCAAGUAUUGGGAACUUCCUCUGCAGUUCUUGGGAAAGAAUAUUCAAGACAUUGUUACUUCUUAUAGAAAGUCCAGUCCUAAGCACUCCACAGCAGGUUUAGAAACCCUUGGCCACUGCUUACCACACUCUUAGCUGUUAAAGGAGAAGUCAGUAGAGGAGGAUGACUUAUAUAACCGAAGGAAAUGCAAGUGUCCUAGUAAUAUUUCAGUUUACUCUGGUUAAAGUUUUAAUGCAAAGUAAACAAAGUUGCAUCUUGUUAUAUAAAAAGGAAAGGAUGGGUGCAGGGAAGGACUUGGCAGUCUAUGGCCUGUAUGGGGUAACAUGAAGUUUUUACAAAGUUUUUCUCACUCUAAGGCUGGUGGUUAAUUCCCAUUGGAAUAUCACUUAUGUGGAUGCUUGGAGAUGUUUGGGUAAGGCGAAUUCCAUCACACUUAUACAACAGGAAUGUAUUUGGGGAACAACAUCCUAAAAGCUAACUGCCCCUGAGCAAAUUUUGCAAUGUAAUUUGGCUUUCCAUAGGAGUACACCUGCAACCAGAGAUGAACCAGCAGUAUGGACUUGAAGUCCUUCAGUCCCUGGGAUCGCUGUUGCUCGACACAUUUAAUAAAUUGUCAUCAGGUUUAGUUAUCUAUCAUGUGAGGUUGGUAAUUGUGAGUUGUCCCUGAAAGAGAUGUGCUGACUAUUCAUGUAUCUGAGUCUUCGCGCUUCCCGUGAUGUUCUGGGCUCUGAGAAAUUCCACUAGGAGGAUGCACGAAGACCUUGUGAGGCGGCCCAAUGCUGAGCCAAACAUUUCACUUGAAUUUUUGAAUUAAUGUCCAUCUACUAUCAAUUAAACUGAUUAGUUACUUAA